UCCCAGAAAUGCCAUGGGGGGCCAG
rnacentral:piRNA from 1 species